CGGGUGAGUAAUGUAUGGGGAUCUGCCUGAGUGGCGGGGGAUAACUACUGGAAACGGUAGCUAAUACCGCAUAAUGUCUGCGGACCGAAAGCGGGGGACCUCCGGGCCUCGCGCCAUCAGAUGAACCCAUAUGGGAUUAGCUUGUAGGUAAGGUAACGGCUUACCUAGGCGACGAUCCCUAGCUGGUCUGAGAGGAUGAUCAGCCACACUGGGACUGAGACACGGCCCAG
rnacentral:rRNA from 1 species